GUUUAUAUAGUUUAAUGGUAUAACGCUUGGUUAUUUAGGCUAAAAAGUAUAGGUUCGAAUUCUAUUAUAAGCG